GACGUAGGGGACGAGCGUUGUCCGGAAUCAUUGGGCGUAAGAGCGUGUAGGCGGUCCGGUAAGUCGGUUGUGAAAGUCCAGGGCUCAACCCUGGGAUGCCGACCGAUACUGUCGGACUAGAGUUCGGAAGAGGCGAGUGGAAUUCCUGGUGUAGCGGUGGAAUGCGCAGAUAUCAGGAGGAACACCGAUGGCGAAGGCAGCCCCCUGGGUCAAAACUGACGCUCAUGCACGAAAGCGUGGGGAGCAAACAGG
rnacentral:rRNA from 1 species